rnacentral:lncRNA from 1 species
ACAAAACCCCACCCUCUCAGAUCAGGGUAAGGGAUCCUACUGCUGACUAUGUAACACCUCCUCUCUCCCCAAACCCAUGGCCUCCGCUGAUGACUCUGCUUCUCACUGAACUGAAAAUGCAGAAGAAACGAGAAGAGAACUUCCUACCGCCCCAGCUGGAUGGUCUAUGCCCCCAUUAAGCAGGCGCUCUUCCCUACCGCUCCCUGGAAUUAUCCUCAUCAAGGUCACUGUGUGCGCCGUCGCGCCGAGUCUAUCCUCCAUCCUCGUCUUGCUUUCUCAGGAGCCCCUGACAUGGUUCGUCACUGCCUCUUUGAAGCACGGCCUUCGCUCAACCCCUGGAAUACCACUCUCCUGGUUUCCCUCCUAUUUCACUGGCUACUCCUUCUCAGCCUCCCCAACUGGAACCUGUUGCUCUUGAAGAUCUCUAAAUACGGACGCAUCCUGGGACUCAGUACUCAGAGCCCCACUCUCCCAGCCGUGCUCAUCCAGGUGCGUGGGUUAAGAUGCUUCUGGAAUGCCUGCAGAGAUGGACCUCGCACCCAAACUGCCCACAUGGAUCCGUGUUUGGAGGUCAAAAGGGCAUUGCAAACUUAGCAAAGGGACUCUUGGCUCCAUAGCCCCUCCCACCAACGACAUUACAACUCCCCCGGAUUCUGAGACCAAAACGUUUGGAAUCAUCCUUGACUCCUUUCCUUCUGUCAUAUGCCGUAUCGAGUCCAUCAACAACCCCUGUUGGCUCUACCUUCAGGAUAUGUCUGCGAUCCUAACGCCUCCAGCCGCCUUCAUUUCUGCCACUGUCGUCACAGCCUGGCACGGCCACUGGCUUCCAACUGAUCUUCUGGCAUUUGUACAGUAGACCGACUCAUCUUUCAAACCUACGCCAGAUUUUGUCUCUCUCCUGCUUUGAAACUUCCAGGGAUUUCUAGCAACCAUAGAAGAAAUAGCCACAGGCCUUGUUAUGGCUUCAAAGACUCUGAGCAACCCCGUCCCUUCCCUGACCCUUCUACUGCCCUCUCUCUCCACUCACUGCCCUAUGGUCAUACUGGCUCAGACACCUCAUCAAGAACAUUCCCACAUCAGAGCUUCUGCUUCUGCUGUUCUCUGGAUAUCUUUUUCUUUAUAUAUCUGGGUAGCUCACUCCCUCACUUUAUUUUAGAUUUCUGCUCAAGAAGUUAUCUCCUCUGAGAAACUUGUUCUCACCAUCCUAUACAAAAUAAGCGCCCCUUCUGAUUCCACACUUACCCCUGUCUGAAAAUACAUCAUGUAUUAUUCUAUUCUAUUUUUGUGUCCCUGGCUAGGAUGCAAACUUUUCAAAAGGAAGAAUUUCAUUCUGUUCGUAAUUUUGUGUCUAGGACCUACAACAAUAGUUGGUGUAUGGUAGGCUUUUAAUAAAUAUCUGUUCAAAAUAUGAGUGCAGAAAGCUAUAUUACCUGACUCA